CAAUAGCGUAUAUUUAAGUUGUUGCAGUUAAAAAGCUCGUAGUUGGAUUUCGGUUAAGAGCGACCGGUCCGCCGUUUGGUGUGCACUGGUUGGUUUUAACUUCCUGUAGAGGACGUGCUCUGGGUUUAACGACCUGGACUCGGAGUCUACGUGGUUACUUUGAAAAAAUUAGAGUGUUCAAAGCGGGCUUACGCUUGAAUAUUUCAGCAUGGAAUAACACUAUAGGACUCCCGUCCUAUUUCGUUGGUCUCGGGACGGGAGUAAUGAUUAAGAGGAACAGUUGGGGGCAUUCGUAUUUCAUUGUCAGAGGUGAAAUUCUUGGAUUUAUGAAAGACGAACUUCUGCGAAAGCAUUUGCCAAGGAUGUUUUCAUUAA
rnacentral:rRNA from 1 species